rfam:Ictidomys tridecemlineatus contig097460, whole genome shotgun sequence.
GCCCUCGUCUUACCCAGCAGUGUUUGGGUGGUUGGGAGUCUCUAAUACUGCCGGGUAAUGAUGGAGGC